rnacentral:rRNA from 1 species
CGGGACGGGUGAGUAAUGUCUGGGAAACUGCCUGAGUGAGGGGGAUAACUACUGGAAACGGUAGCUAAUACCGCAUAACGUCGCAAGACCAAAGGGGGGGACCUUCGGGCCUCUUGCCAUCGGAUGUGCCCAGAUGGGAUUAGCUAGUAGGUGGGGUAACGGCUCACCUAGGCGACGAUCCCUAGCUGGUCUGAGAGGAUGGCCAGCCACACUGGAACUGAGACACGGUCCAG